AUUGAACGCUGGCGGCAGGCCUAACACAUGCAAGUCGAGCGGAUGACGGGAGCUUGCUCCUUGAUUCAGCGGCGGACGGGUGAGUAAUGCCUAGGAAUCUGCCUGGUAGUGGGGGACAACGUUUCGAAAGGAACGCUAAUACCGCAUACGUCCUACGGGAGAAAGCAGGGGACCUUCGGGCCUUGCGCUAUCAGAUGAGCCUAGGUCGGAUUAGCUAGUAGGUGAGGUAAAGGCUCACCUAGGCGACGAUCCGUAACCGGUCUAAGAGGAUGAUCAGUCACACUGGAACUGAGACACGGUCCAGACUCCUACGGGAGGCAGCAGUGGGGAAUAUUGGACAAUGGGCGAAAGCCUGAUCCAGCCAUGCCGCGUGUGUGAAGAAGGUCUUCGGAUUGUAAAGCACUUUAAGUUGGGAGGAAGGGUUGUACGUUAAUACCGUGCAAUUUUGACGUUACCGACAGAAUAAGCACCGGCUAACUCUGUGCCAGCCGCCGCCGUAA
rnacentral:rRNA from 1 species